rnacentral:tRNA from 1 species
GGAGGAUAUAGCUCAGAGGUAGAGUGUGUGCUUAGUAUGCACAAGGUCCUGGGUUCAAUCCCCAGUACCUCCA